UUGGGUCAAGGGGAACAAGUAUCAUGGUAAAGAAGCCCAUACUCAUAUCUGCCUCUGGGUCAACCUGCUCCUUCUUCAAACAUCUGGCGUGACAUACAGGAUCCCAGGGGAGAGUCGUGCCUGAUCACCACAUCUCGCCAUGAAUUCGAUGAGUUACUGACCUUUAAAGCCAUCGCCCAGCUCUUCAUUCUGGGCUGCACAUGGAGUCUUGGUCUCCUCCAGGUCGGCCCAGCAGCCACAGUCAUGGCGUAUUUAUUCACCAUUGUCAACAGCCUGCAUCAUCUGGUCAUCUUCCUGGUGCACUGUCUCCUCAAUCAUCAGGUGAGAGAGGAGUACAGGAGAUGGAUCAAGGGAUUCUGAACGUCCAGCACGAAAUCUCAGACAUCCGAUCUAUCCAUGUCUGCUGUCCCCACCACCAGCACCAAGACGGCUAGAGGUCCUCUGCUCUGUUCCAGUACCAGCCUGUGAAAGAGUCAUCUCUAGCUGGGUCUCAUUACUGCUCUAACGGUACUUUGUCCCCUGAGCGAGCCAGGAUUUGUUAUAAGCCAGCUGGGAAUGUCAUUAAGAGUGUUAGUCAAUCCCAUCCUGAUUGAGGGGUAUCCUACAUGUCUUAGGCAUCAACACCGAACGCUCCUUUCCUAGCAGCUCCACAUUCCCUCCCCUUGUCUCCCCUGAGAACUCUAUUGGUCAUUGAUUGUCGACUGUGUGUGUGGUGUUGGCACUUGCAAUGUAAUGAGCUGGACGUAUUGGAUCAGGAUUGUCUCCUGGGACUGAAACCUUGUCGGUCCAGAUGUGUACGGGGAGAUUUUGGCAAACCAGUAAAGUGCCUGAAACCACUAUGGCUUAUUGCUAAAAGCAACCUAGUCAGCAGGCUGUAAAGUGGCCAUGCAGCUUGACCAAGGCAGGAGGGGAGGGGGGCUGGGGUGCCACAGAAAGGGCAGCUUGACCCCAUGUCCUUCCUGAUAAGAAUUGUGUUGAAGUUGCUGAUACAUGCAUUUUAGGAGAGCAGGAUGUGCCCCAGGAAUGUCUAUUGGGGCCUCAAGGCUGCAAACUCUGGAAAAACCCACACCGGGUUAAUCAAUAAUCAGAAGGAACCUCUUGCCUGACCAUUGAAACUGCUUACUGAACAAGUUUUCUUUAAGAGACGUGUAUCAGAGGGGUAGCCGUGUUAGUCUGAAUCUGUAAAAAGCAGCAGAGGGUCCUGUGGCACCUUUAAGACUAACAGAAGUAUUGGGAGCAUAAACUUUUGUGGGUAAGAACCUCACUUCUUCAGAUGCAUGUCUUUAAGAGACAUGUCAUUCUAUUACUAAUGUAUAAAUAAGGGGGGAAAGUUUGAGGUAGUUGGACUCUUUUGGACUCUCCCUCUAGAUACAUCUUGCGGUCCCCACUGGCAGACGGAAGAUUUGGCCACCGGAAGCUUGCCGCUGUUUCACUUGAGAGCCACACUCCGCUUUGGUAAUUAUCAAGGGUUGGGGGUGUUUUACUAACCUGUUGCGGACGUGU